GUACUCACUUUGACAGCACAUAUACUAAAAUGGGAAUGAUACAGAGAAGAUUAGCAUGGCGCCUGUGCAAUUUCCAUGUGAAUUUCCAUGACAUGCAAAUUUGU